rnacentral:rRNA from 1 species
GAUGAACGCUAGCGGCAGGCUUAAUACAUGCAAGUCGAGGGGCAGCAUGGUGUAGCAAUACACUGAUGGCGACCGGCAAACGGGUGCGGAACACGUACAGAACCUUCCUUCGAGCGGGGAAUAGCCCAGAGAAAUUUGGAUUAAAUACCCCAUAGUAUAGCGGAGAGGCAUCUCUCUGUUAUUAAAGAUUUAUCACUUGAAGAUGGCUGUGCGGCUGAUUAGGUAGUUGGCGGGGUAACGGCCCACCAAGCCUGCGAUCAGUAACUGGUGUGAGAGCACGACCAGUCACACGGGCACUGAGACACGGGCCCGAAUCCCUAGGGAGGCAGCAGUAAGGAAUAUUGGUCAA